GUUCCUGACUCAAUAGACUUCCCAACUGCUGUGUGUCUCAUCCAUCACCACAUUGAAGAUGGUUGGUCAGCCAGGGAGACAAAGGGCAGGGAGAUCUGGAGCCUUCAAUAAAUCCUGCAGUGAGGUAAUCAGGAUGUUCCUAACUCCUGUCUCAUCCAUCACCUCAUUGAAGCUGGUUGGUCAGCCAGAGAGAGAGAGAGAGAGAGAGAGAGAGAGAGAUAGAGAGAGGGAGACCUGGAGCCUUCAGUCAAUCCUGCAGCCGGUCCUCAGGAAAGUGCUGACUCCAUAGACUUCCCAAUUGCUGGGUGUCUCGUCCAACACCUCAUUGAAGUUGAUUGGUCAGCCAGAGAGACAAAAGGCAGAGAGAUCUGGAGCCUUCAAUAAAUCCUGCA